UACGUAGGGGGCAAGCGUUGUCCGGAUUUAUUGGGCGUAAAGAGCGUGUAGGCGGCCAGACAGGUCCGUUGUGAAAACUCGAGGCUCAACCUCGAGAUGUCGAUGGAAACCGUCUGGCUAGAGUCCGGAAGAGGAGUGUGGAAUUCCUGGUGUAGCGGUGAAAUGCGCAGAUAUCAGGAAGAACACCUAUGGCGAAGGCAGCACUCUGGGACGGUACUGACGCUGAGACGCGAAAGCGUGGGAGCAAACGGG
rnacentral:rRNA from 1 species